UGGGGAAUAUUGCACAAUGGGGGGAACCCUGAUGCAGCGACGCCGCGUGAGCGAAGAAGGUUUUCGAAUCGUAAAGCUCUGUCCUAUGAGAAGAUAAUGACGGUAUCAUAGGAGGAAGCCCCGGCUAAAUACGUGCCAGCAGCCGCGGUAAUACGUAUGGGGCGAGCGUUGUCCGGAAUUAUUGGGCGUAAAGGGUACGUAGGCGGUUUUUUAAGUCAGGUGUGAAAGCGUGAGGCUUAACCUCAUUAAGCACUUGAAACUGGAAGACUUGAGUGAAGGAGAGGAAAGUGGAAUUCCUAGUGUAGCGGUGAAAUGCGUAGAUAUUAGGAGGAAUACCGGUGGCGAAGGCGACUUUCUGGACUUUUACUGACGCUCAGGUACGAAAGCGCGGGGAGCAAACAGGAUUAGAUACCCUGGUAGUCCACGCCGUAAACGAUGAAUGCUAGGUGUUGGGAGUCAAAUCUCGGUGCCGAAGUUAACACAUUAAGCAUUCCGCCUGGGGAGUACGGUGGCAACACUG
rnacentral:rRNA from 1 species